CUCUCAUCUGUGCCUGUCAAUCAAGAAGCGACGGUGCAUGGUGCAGGCUGUGUAUAACGGCGUCUCUGGUGCCCGCAGAGCAGAAAACACCAACACGGCUCCACUGACAUUCUCCUCUGUGGUCUGUAGGAGUGGAUCAGCUACAGUUUGGAUUCAACUCAUGCUCUAAUUUACUAGAAAACCAGAGCUGGAUCAUCUGAAAAUAACAUCAUGUCUUAUGAACGGAUUCUGUCCAUUGAAAACCUGAGUGAUGUGCCUAAUCCAUGGAAAGGCGUCACUAUGAACCGCUGUUUGGUGCUGGCACUGGUUGUAAUGCUAGUGAGCUCUGGAGUUAAUGAAGUGCACGAAGCACUGGAUUCUUUUGUUGAGGAGACGGGAAUCAGGUCGUUUGUUGGAAGUCUUCAGAGCGGAUCAUUUACUCAGAUCUCCCUAUGGGACAGUUUCAUGUGGUGGUGGGGGUCUGAAGAACUUGGCACAAUAAGAAGACGAAAAAAGCCCAUAGGCAACAAAGCAAUCCUGAAACCCAAAGCUAAAUGAUUAUGCAUUUAGAAUUGAUGACAUAAAAGUUGACAAACAGAUGUUAGAACAACAGAUUUCUGAAUAAAGGACAAACAAAAGCCUUAUGUGUACUCUGC
rnacentral:lncRNA from 1 species